ensembl:lncRNA
CUAGAAACAAAGGGUUAAGAUUUGAUCCUACUGAAGGAGUCUUGAGAAAUUUCUCCUCUAAGGAAGACAGUUUCAACUUUCUCCCUUCUGCUAAAAGGGAACUUGUGCCAUCUUCUGUUCUCAAAGAUACACCAAUAGCUACAACUACUCCUCAGUUUUGUCCCACACCUUCUCAAUCUAUCCAAAGGGCCUUGAAAUUUUCCAAAAAUGAUGAAGUAAUUUUGGAAAGUUUCCAAUCCUUACAAGAGUAUGCUGGACAUUCCAUAUUUUCCCAAGAUGCUCUCGUAAUUCCUCCUCCAACCAAAAAGGAAACUUUCUCCAGUGCCCAUGUGUUGAAGACUCUUCCCCAUCUUUUCUUCUAUUAGUGUAGUGCCCACCUCGACCAGCAAGGAAGACACAUCACCGUUGGAUUCUUCUCAACAGCCUUUAUUUCAGGAAAACCUCAUUCUUGAUGAGGGGGGCCCCGAGGGAAAAAAGGCACUCCCCCUAAAUACAAGAAAGGCUGUGG